GGCCAGACUUUGGACACUCGGACACAAUGGUAACUGUGCUACGGCAGUCAGGCCGAGGGCCAUUUGCACAGUGAGACGUGCCUCCACGCUUUGUCUGCUUCCAGUGGCUUUGAUGGUGUGAUCAUCAAUUGGUGCAUUGUUAGAAACAAAAGACCACUUCAUCUUGACACGGACCAAAAGGGGUGAAUGUCUGAAAGGCCUGAAGAGUUAAGUUUCUCACCAUGGAUGGCCAGUCUGGGAAGCGCUGGCUGACAUAUCCUUUAAAGACACAGAUAUUCU
rnacentral:lncRNA from 1 species